rnacentral:rRNA from 1 species
UACGGAGGGGGCUAGCGUUGUUCGGAAUUACUGGGCGUAAAGCGCGCGUAGGCGGACCUGCAAGUCGGGGGGUGAAAGCCCCGAGGCUCAACCUCGGAACUGCCUUCGAUACUGCGGGUCUCGAGUCCGGGAGAGGUGAGUGGAAUUCCUAGUGUAGAGGUGAAAUUCGUAGAUAUUAGGAAGAACACCAGUGGCGAAGGCGGCUCACUGGCCCGGUACUGACGCUGAGGGCGCGAAAAGCGUGGGGGAGCAA